rnacentral:rRNA from 1 species
AUUGAACGCUGGCGGAAUGCUUUACACAUGCAAGUCGAACGGUAGAGGGGGCAACCCCUCGAGAGUGGCGAACGGGUGAGUAAUAUAUCGGAACGUGCCCAGUCGUGGGGGAUAACGUAGCGAAAGUUACGCUAAUACCGCAUACGAUCUAAGGAUGAAAGCGGGGGACCGUAAGGCCUCGCGCGAUUGGAGCGGCCGAUAUCAGAUUAGGUAGUUGGUGAGGUAAAGGCUCACCAAGCCAACGAUCUGUAGCUGGUCUGAGAGGACGACCAGCCACACGGGAACUGAGACACGGUCCAGGCUCCUACGGGAGGCAGCAGUGGGGAAUUUUGGACAAUGGACGCAAGUCUGAUCCAGCCAUUCCGCGUGCAGGAUGAAGGCCCUCGGGUUGUAAACUGCUUUUGUACGGAACAAAAAGGUCUCUCCUAAUACGAGGGGCUCAUGACGGUACCGUAAGAAUAAGCACCGGCUAACUACGUGCCAGCAGCCGCCGUAA